AUUGAACGCUGGCGGCAGGCCUAACACAUGCAAGUCGAGCGGAGCGGCGGACGGGUGAGUAAUGCCUAGGACUCUGCCUGUGAGUGGUGGAUAACGUCCGGAACCGGGCGCUAAUACCGCUUCCUCUUAGCUGAGCCUAGGCCGGAUUAGCUAGUUGGUGGGGUAAAGGCCUAGCCAGGCGAAGAUCCGUAACUGGUCUGAGAGGAUGAUCAGUCACAAUGGAACUGAGAAACGGUCCAGAAUCCUACGGGAGGCAGCAGUGGGGAAUAUUGGACAAUGGGCGCAAGCCUGAUGCAGCCAUGCCGCGUGUGUGAAGAAGGUCUUCGGAUUGUAAAGCACUUUAAGUUGGGAGGCGUUACCAGCAGAAUAAGCACCGGCUAACUUCGUGCCAGCAGCCGCGGUAAUUC
rnacentral:rRNA from 1 species